CAGUAGCCGCGGGAAUACGUAGGGUGCAAGCGUUAAUCGGAAUUACUGGGCGUAAAGCGUGCGCAGGCGGUUUGUUAAGACAGAUGUGAAAUCCCUGGGCCCAACCUGGGAACUGCAUUUGUGACUGGCAAGCUAGAGUAUGGCAGAGGGGGGUGGAAUUCCGCGUGUAGCAGUGAAAUGCGUAGAUAUGCGGAGGAACACCGAUGGCGAAGGCAGCCCCUGGGCCAAUACUGACGCUCAUGCACGAAAGCGUGGGGAGCAACCAGGAUUAGAUACCCCUGUAGUCCCUGUCUCUUAUACA
rnacentral:rRNA from 1 species